AGUAGGUCCCAAGGGUUGGGCUGUUCGCCCAUUAAAGUGGUACGCGAGCUGGGUUCAGAACGUCGUGAGACAGUUCGGUCCCUAUCCGUCGCAGGCGUAGGAAAUUUGAGAAGACCUGUCCUUAGUACGAGAGGACCGGGAUGGACGUACCUCUGGUGUACCAGUUGUCCUGCCAAGGGCAUGGCUGGGUAGCUAUGUACGGAAUGGAUAAGCGCUGAAAGCAUCUAAGCGCGAAGCCAACUUCAAGAUAAGAUUUCCCACCGCAAGGGUAAGACCCCAGAAAGACUAUCUGGUUGAUAGGUCGAAGGUGUAAGUGCAGCAAUGUAUUUAGCUUAUCGAUACUAAUAGGUCGAGGACUUGACCAAU
rnacentral:rRNA from 1 species